rnacentral:rRNA from 1 species
GACGAACGCUGGCGGCGUGCUUAACACAUGCAAGUCGAACGAAGUGGCGAACGGGUGGGUAACGCGUAAUCAACCUGCCCUUCAGAGGGGGACAACCGUUGGAAACGACUGCUAAUACCGCAUACUGAAGGAGGGGCUUGCGUCUGAUUAGCUAGUUGGAGGGGUAACGGCCCACCAAGGCGAUGAUCAGUAGCCGGGCUGAGAGGAGGAACGGCCACAUUGGGACUGAGAAACGGCCCAGACUCCUACGGGAGGCAGCAGUGGGGAAUCUUCCGCAAUGGACGAAAGUCUGACGGAGCAACGCCGCGUGAGUGAUGAAGGCCUUCGGGUUGUAAAGCUCUGUUAAUCGGGACGCGGUACCGGAAUAGAAAGCCACGGCUAACUACGUGCCAGCCGCCGCGGUAAUAC